AUUGAACGCUGGCGGCAUGCCUUACACAUGCAAGUCGAACGGCAGCACGGGAGCAAUCCUGGUGGCGAGUGGCGAACGGGUGAGUAAUAUAUCGGAACGUGCCCAGUCGUGGGGAUAACGUAGCGAAAGCUACGCUAAUACCGCAUACGAUCUAUGGAUGAAAGCGGGGGAUCGCAAGACCUCGCGCGAUUGGAGCGGCCGAUAUCAGAUUAGGUUGUUGGUGAGGUAAAAGCUCACCAAGCCGACGAUCUGUAGCUGGUUUGAGAGAACGACCAGCCANACUGGGACUGAGACACGGCCCAGACUCCUACGGGAGGCAGCAGUGAGGAAUUUUUGGACAAUGGGCGCAAGCCUGAUCCAGC
rnacentral:rRNA from 1 species